GACGAACGCUGGCGGCGUGCUUAACACAUGCAAGUCGAACGAUGAACCGGUUUCGGCCGGGGAUUAGUGGCGAACGGGUGAGUAACACGUGGGCAAUCUGCCCUGCACUCUGGGAUAAGCCCGGGAAACUGGGUCUAAUACCGGAUACAACACUCCGAGGCAUCUUGGGGUGUGGAAAGUUCCGGCGGUGCAGGAUGAGCCCGCGGCCUAUCAGCUUGUUGGUGGGGUAAUGGCCUACCAAGGCGACGACGGGUAGCCGGCCUGAGAGGGUGACCGGCCACACUGGGACUGAGACACGGCCCAGACUCCUACGGGAGGCAGCAGUGGGGAAUAUUGCACAAUGGGCGAAAGCCUGAUGCAGCGACGCCGCGUGAGGGAUGACGGCCUUCGGGUUGUAAACCUCUUUCAGCAGGGAAGAAGCGAAAGUGACGGUACCUGCAGAAGAAGCACCGGCUAACUACGUG
rnacentral:rRNA from 1 species